ensembl:lncRNA
AAAAAUAGCGAAAACAACAAAAAUAGCACUUAUGACUUCGAACCAAAUGUAAAAAACGGUGCUUCAAUUUUAAGCAGUCCAGAAGAAAUAAAAACUUACAUAAAAAAUAUAUUCACAAAAAGUAAAUAUUGCGAUGUGAAAUUUUAUUUUUAUACAUGUGUUUAUAUUGUGUAUAUAAUUGGAAAAAUAAUGAAACAAGUUGAUCACUAUAGUAGCAAUAAAAACAAAAAAACUAACGAUAAAACUUACACAUAUGAUCAUCUACUAUUUAUAUCUUAUGACCUUUCUUAUUUACUUUAUAAUGAUUAUAUAUUACAAGAAAAUAAAACUAAAAAAAAUAAUAUUCUUAUAAAAGAUUUACAAAUACGUCAAAAUAGUGCCAUGUCUUCUUUUAUAUAUUUACCGUCAUUCCAAAAUAUAAAAGAAAUGGAGCUAACAAAAUUAUAUAAUUUUGAAAAAGAAAUAGUGUCAAAUUGUUACUCAAACAAGUUGUCCAUUAUUAAUUAUGUUAAUAAAAUUAAUGGAAAAAAAAAUAAACAUUUUAACAAAUUAUCAACGGAGUACCAAAGUGAUAUAUCCGUUUUAGUUCUUUACUUAAAAAUGUUAUGUAAAAAAAUAGCGUAUUAUGUCUUUACCUGCAUUUACGAGAAACACGAGGCGUUAAUCAGAAAACGAAUUAACAUCAUGCAAAAUAAUUUUCAAACGAAAUUUGAAAAAUUAAAUGACGAAUUACAACUAUCAGAUAAAUCAUAUGAUAUUGUUACAAAAAGAAAAAUAGAACUAAAAAUAUUUUUUACUUUUUAUGUUGUUGGUAUUAAACAUUUGUUAGCUAAUCACUUAUAUUCCUUUUAUGAAAAUACAUAUAACAACUUAAUUUUUUUCCUUUACCUUUUGAAUUUACUACCUGCGGAUUCCACUUUACAACAACACCCUUCACAGCAACAGGGUACUUUAAAUGAAAAUAAUAAUCUUACAAGCGAGCGAAAAAUUUGUUACUUAAAAAUUGACUACCGUGAUAUGUCCUCCGAAUAUGACCUCAAUGACAUUAUAAAAAAAAUAAGAAACACGUACAGUGUCGAUGACGACAAAAAGGAUCUUGAUAUAAAAGAAGACAAUAUGAAUAAUAUGAAAAAAGGCGUGCUUUAUAUGGCUUAUUAUGAAGAUAAUACCUUUUUUGUUAAUAAAUUAGAAAAAAAAAUAAGUAAAUAUAUGUCAAAGUUGUAUACUUAUAUGGAAAAACUUUUGGACGUGAAAAAAAAAGAAACAAUCAAACUAAUUUCAAAUGAUAUGAAAUUACAUAGAAAGUAUUAUGAAUGUAAAAACGAAUGAAUGACAAAAAGAGGAUAAGCUGUGAUCUAUGCAUUAAAAAAAAAAAAAAAAUAAAAAAAAAAAAAAAAAAAUAGUACGUAUAUAG